CCAGUUUGUGGACAAAGUCCUAACUAUCUCACAAUAUAGGUCCCCAACCACUGACCAAACUCCAGUCCAGGCAGCCACCAGCUGGCCUGGUCUUGCUGCUUCCUUUAGCGGCUUCCAAGGUCCAGGGACAGGGGGUCUGGGCCACCAAGAGGCUCUGCUAGGCUGUCCCUGCAGCCACAGCCACCCCACUGGACCCCUGCCUCCCAUCUGAGAGGACAGCCCUCUUCCUGGAGCUGGGAUCUGACACUUGCUGAUACCAACGGCAGAUACCAGGUAAUGAGAUGUGAGCAGAAACAACCUGUGUCACACCUGGGCAGAAGCUUUAAAGGCCAGUGCUGCCCUUGUUGGGGAAGCAAGUAUAGAUAUGAAUCGUUCCACAACGCGGAGCGCCCCCUGCCGACCCAUGCUGGGCGUGUACUAUAGAUGAGGAGACUGAGGAUCAGAGAGAUAAAGUCACCUGUCCAAGGUCAUACUGUGGAUGUAGCUCUAACCCAAGUCCUCCUGACUGCAGCACAAAUUCUCAGCCACUACCAUAUCAGCCCCUUCAUUUGAAGGUGUCUUCAUCAUUGCCAAGAUUCCUUUUCCUCCCGGCCCCCUAAGUCUUCAGGAUUCCCUCAUCUCAUCUCCCCAGAGAAGUCAUGACACCAUCUCCUCCAAAAACAAAGUCAGAGCCUUCACUGUAGACGGACCUGUGUUCUUCGCCCAAACUCAGUCCACCUCAUCUCCAGAAAAACUAUAUGACUUGCCCUGGAGAAGAGGGGGAAAAAAAAACCUCUUCCCACCAACUCCACCUCCCAAAUUACUGGAUUUGGGGUAAAUUUACAGGCUGGAGACAGAAGAAUGGAUGUGUAUUUAGCUUUCAAAUUGACUAUUGUUUUAUGUGAAUGUCUGAUAAAGAAAACACAAUGGCUGCCAGGUGGGGGCUGGGAGUGAGAUUUCUCAUGUGGAGAAUUCUAGAAGACAUGCCUGGAGUUCUGGAGCCUGGAUCCUCUGGACAGACAAGUGGCCAGGCAACCAGGAUGGAGGCACCAAAGAUAACUGUGGGGUGGGGAGAAGACACCAGCCCAAGAGAUUUGACUGGGAUUGGUCUACGCAAGAAUGGAAAAUGGAGGCAGAAUGAGUUAGCAGCAAGCACUUGUACACUGCUAUAGAAUCUGAGGGACCCGGCCAGUGCUGGCCAAUAGAAAUAGAAUGUGAGCCACAGACAUAAUUUAAACUUUUCUUGUAGUCACUUAAAAACAUGGUAAAUCUAUGAAAUAGAAGAUUGCUCGUGCAAAUAAAUGAACUCCGCUUUGGUCUCAGUGAUCAGGGGUCCCACACUCAAGUGCCCUCAAUACCCAGAGAAGUAACUGAAAUAAAUGGAACAGAUAGGGUGUGAGCAAAGUUCACACGUUCCUCUAAGAAAAACAAUACAGCAAACAUGGUGAUUUAUGUUCAUUAAUAAGUUUCCGUAUGGGGACACUAAGGAAUAGUGGGGACUAUGGCAAAUUAGAGGAAGCAUGAGAAUCUAAAGUGGCUCCAGCAGACUCUUGUCUCAUAGGAAUCAGUGUUGCUAGAACUUCACUUUUUUUGAAAGAGGUGAAAGUUGGGAUUUUCUUUAAUUUAUUUUUUUGACAGGGUCUUGCUCUG